UGUGUCUUAUGUACAUCCUACUGUCUUGUGAUUGGUUCUUUUUUCAAUGUGUUUCUUUGCUGCUGUGGAGCUAGUAAAGAGAGAUUAUGCAAAAUACGACGCCUCCUGUCAUGUUGUAAAAUUUUAUUUUCUGUGAUGGCUAUUAAGCUUACUAGACAAACAUAGCAACUUCUAAAAUUAUUUCACAUUGAAAUUUUAUUUUAGACCUUGUAUUUU